rnacentral:rRNA from 1 species
GAUAUUGCACAAUGGGGGAAACCCUGAUGCAGCGACGCCGCGUGAGCGAAGAAGGCCUUCGGGUCGUAAAGCUCUGUUUCGAGGGACGAUAAUGACGGUACCUAAGGAGGAAGCACCGGCUAACUACGUGCCAGCAGCCGCGGUAAUACGUAGGGGGCAAGCGUUGUCCGGAAUUAUUGGGCGUAAAGGGUGCGUAGGGGGCCUUUUAAGUGAGGUGUGAGAACCCACGGCUUAACAGUGGGAUUGCAUUUGAAACUGGCAGGCUUGAGUAUCGGAGAGGGUAGAGGAAUUCCCAGUGUAGCGGUGGAAUGCGUAGAUAUUGGGAGGAACACCAGUGGCGAAGGCGACUACCUGGACGAAAACUGACGCUGAGGCACGAAAGCUAGGGGAGCAAACA